GAAGAAUAGGGAUGAUGGCAGUGAAAGAGAUGACAAGGGGUAUAAGAGCGUUUAAGAGAAGGUAGAGCUCAGGAGAGGUUGGGUUGAUUGCGUUGUAAGCGAGAGUGUAUAAAGCUGCGCUUACACCGUUGAAGCUGACGGUGAGGGAAAGAGCAAGUGAUCUGUUUGCAGGGAAGUUACUGAUGCAGAGGACAAAGCAGACUGUGUUGAACCAACAGAUGCUUAGACCAGCGAGUAAACAACAGAGGAACACCUGUACAGAAGGUUUUUGAAGCAGCCAUCAAACACAAGGCGGCCAAGCCGAAAAUGACAAGAAGAAGACUUGUUGGAACCUUGUCGAAGUUUU